rnacentral:rRNA from 1 species
CCUACGGGAGGCUGCAGUGAGGAAUAUUGGUCAAUGGGCGGGAGCCUGAACCAGCCAAGUCGCGUGAGGGAAGACGGUCCUAUGGAUUGUAAACCUCUUUAGGCGGGGAGCAAUGCCGGGCACGCGUGCCCGGAGGGAGAGUACCCGCAGAAUAAGCAUCGGCUAACUCCGUGCCAGCAGCCGCGGUAAUACGGAGGAUGCGAGCGUUGUCCGGAUUGAUUGGGUUUAAAGGGUGCGUAGGCGGAUUUUUAAGUCAGCGGUAAAAUGUCCGGGCUCAACCCGGGCCGGCCGUUGAAACUGGGGAUCUUGAGUGGGCGAGAAGUAUGCGGAAUGCGUGGUGUAGCGGUGAAAUGCAUAGAUAUCACGCAGAACUCCGAUUGCGAAGGCAGCAUACCGGCGCCCGACUGACGCUGAGGCACGAAAGCGUGGGGAUCGAACAGGAUUAGAUACCCCUGUAGUC